rnacentral:rRNA from 1 species
ACGAAGUAGCAAUACUUAGUGGCAGACGGGUGAGUACAUGUGGGUAUCUACCCUUUGGCCUGGAAUAACACGAGGAAACUUGUGCUAAUACCGGAUAAGUCUUUACGGAGAAAGCUUUAUGCACCAUUGGAUGAGCCCGCACUUGAUUAGUUUGUUGGUAGGGUAAUGGCCUACCAAGACUAUGAUCAAUAGCUGAUUUGAGAGGAUGAUCAGCCACAUUGGGACUGAGACACGGCCCAAACUCCUACGGGAGGCAGCAGUGGGGAAUCUUGCACAAUGGAGGAAACUCUGAUGCAGCGAUGCCGCGUGAGUGAAGAAGGCCCUUGGGUUGUAAAGCUCUUUCGUCGGGGAAGAAAAUGACUGUACCCGAAUAAGAAGGUCCGGCUAACUUCGUGCCAGCAGCCGCGGUAAUACGAAGGGACCUAGCGUAGUUCGGAAUUACUGGGCUUAAAGAGUUCGUAGGUGGUUGAAAAAGUUGGUGGUGAAAUCCCAGAGCUUAACUCUGGAACUGCCAUCAAAACUUUUCAGCUAGAGUAUGAUAGAGGAAAGCAGAAUUUCUAGUGUAGAGGUGAAAUUCGUAGAUAUUAGAAAGAAUACCAAUUGCGAAGGCAGCUUUCUGGAUCAUUACUGACACUGAGGAACGAAAGCAUGGGUAGCGAAGAGGAUUAGAUACCCUCGUAGUCCAUGCCGUAAACGAUGUGUGCUAGACGUUGGAAAUUUAUUUUCAGUGUCGCAGGGAAACCGAUAAACACACCGCCUGGGGAGUACGACCGCAAGGUUAAAACUCAAAUGAAUUGACGGGGACCCGCACAAGUAGUGGAGC